rnacentral:rRNA from 1 species
GACAGAGGGUGCAAGCGUUGUUCGGAAUUAUUGGGCGUAAAGGGCGCGUAGGCGGCGACUAAAGUCAGAUGUGAAAUCCCUGGGCUCAACCCAGGAAGUGCAUCUGAUACUGAGUUGCUUGAGUCCCGGAGAGGGUGGUGGAAUUCCUGGUGUAGAGGUGAAAUGCGCAGAUACCAGGAGGAACACCGGUGGCGAAGGCGGGUCUCUGGGGCCGAUACUGACGCUGAGGAGCGAAAGCGUGGGGAGCGAGCAGG